rnacentral:rRNA from 1 species
UACGUAGGGGGCAAGCGUUGUCCGGAUUUAUUGGGCGUAAAGAGCGCGUAGGCGGUCCGGUAAGUCCGCUGUGAAAGUCGGGGGCUCAACCCUCGAAUGCCGGUGGAUACUGCCGGGCUAGAGUCCGGAAGAGGCGAGUGGAAUUCCUGGUGUAGCGGUGAAAUGCGCAGAUAUCAGGAGGAACACCGAUGGCGAAGGCAGCUCGCUGGGACGGUACUGACGCUGAGGCGCGAAAGCGUGGGGAGCAAACAGG